rnacentral:rRNA from 1 species
CUGAUCACACCCAAUCUCAUCUGAUCUUGGUAGCUAAGCAG